ACUCAUGGCGGACGGGUGAGUAACGCGUAAAGAACUUGCCCUUUAGACUGGGAUAACAGAGGGAAACUUCUGAUAAUACUGGAUAAGUUAGUAUAUCGCAUGAUAUACAAAUGAAAGCUACGGCACUAAAGGAGAGCUUUGCGUCCUAUUAGCUAGUUGGUAAGGUAAGAGCUUACCAAGGCGAUGAUAGGUAGCCGGCCUGAGAGGGUGGACGGCCACAAGGGGACUGGGAUACGGCCCUUACUCCUACGGGAGGCAGCAGGG
rnacentral:rRNA from 1 species